UCCGGUAUGGUGUAACGGCUAACAUUACCGCCUUUCACAACAGUUCCGUUGUACGCGGUAGCUCGGGGUUCGAUUCCCCGUACCGGAA
rnacentral:tRNA from 1 species